rnacentral:lncRNA from 1 species
GAAACGCAGUUCUACAAAGCUCUACCAGCGCCAGUUAAAAGCAUCGGACUCCACCUGGUAAUUCCAACGAAAAGCUGCAGGCUGCCCGGAAGCUCAGCCCUACAAAGGAUUCUGGGACAUGUAGUCCCGACGCUCCCUGCGUAUGCUCGACUGUGUCACCCCUUCCGCGCGGGAUUCUGGGAAAUGUAAUCCAGGUGUUCCGCGCAAUAAAAGGCGGUUCUGAUGCGGGAGUGUGGACUCGCGGCCUUCUUUCCUCUCCGGCGGUUGUGCCUUCCCAAGACUCUGCCCUUUCCCAGAAGGAGGAGAACAAAAUGACCAAGUUCAAGGUGAGUCAGGCUUGCCUUUUUAGGUUUUAAAUUGCCAUCUCAUUUUUCAAAGACCAGAUAUAUCUUA